UACAGAGGGUGCAAGCGUUAAUCGGAGUUACUGGGCGUAAAGGGCGCGUAGGUGGUUCUAUGUGUGAGAUGUGAAAUCCCCGGGCUUAACCUGGGAACUGCAUCUUAAACUGUAGAGCUGGAGUACUGUAGAGGAUAGUGGAAUUUCCGGUGUAGCGGUGAAAUGCGUAGAGAUCGGAAGGAACACCAGUGGCGAAGGCGACUGUCUGGACAGAUACUGACACUGAGGCGCGAAAGCGUGGGGAGCAAACAGG
rnacentral:rRNA from 1 species